rnacentral:rRNA from 1 species
UACGGAGGUCCCAAGCGUUUGUUCGGAAUUACUGGGCGUAAAGGGAGCGCAGGCGGACAGGUAAGUCUAAAGUGGAAUCCCGGGGCUCAACCUCGGAACUGCUUCGGAUACUGCUUGUCUUGAGUUCGUGAGAGGAAAGCGGAAUUCAGGGUGUAGCGGUGAAAUGCGCAGAUAUCAGGAGGAACACCGAUGGCGAAGGCAGGUCUCUGGGCCGAAAUUGACGCUGAGACGCGAAGGCGUGGGGAGCGAACGGG